AGUGGCGAACGGGUGCGUAACGCGUGGGUAAUCUGCCUUGAAGAUUGGGACAACUUCUCGAAAGAGAGGCUAAUACCAGAUAUGCUAUACGCAUGCAAAGGUAUGCUUUAAGAUGAGCCCGCGUCCUAUUAGCUAGUUGGUGAGGUAACGGCUCACAAAGGCAAUGAUGGGUAGCCGGUCUGAGAGGAUGGUCGGCCACACUGGGACUGAGAUACGGCCCAGACUCCUACGGGAGGCAGCAGUAGGGAAUAUUGCGCAAUGGGCGAAAGCCUGACGCAGCGAUACCGUGUGAAGGAUGAAGAUCUUCGGAUCGUAAACUUCUGUCAUUGGAGACGAAUGACGGUACCCAAUAAGGAAGUCUCGGCUUACUCCGUGCCAGCAGCCGCGGUAAGACGGGGGAGGCAAGCGUUGUCCGGAAUUAUUGGGCGUAAAGAGCGCGUAGGUGGUUUAUCAAGUCAUUUGUGAAAACUUUAGGCUUAACUUAAAGAUUGCAAGUGAUAC
rnacentral:rRNA from 1 species